UACGAAGGGGGCUAGCGUUGUUCGGAAUUACUGGGCGUAAAGCGCGCGCAGGCGGUUCUUCCAGUCAGUGGUGAAAGCCCGGAGCUCAACUCCGGAACUGCCAUUGAAACUGUGGAACUUGAGGAUGAGAGAGGUGAGUGGAAUUCCCAGUGUAGAGGUGAAAUUCGUAGAUAUUGGGAAGAACACCGGUGGCGAAGGCGGCUCACUGGCUCAUUUCUGACGCUCAGGCGCGAAAGCGUGGGGAUCAAACAGG
rnacentral:rRNA from 1 species